UGAUGUGACCCUUUAAUAACUUCUUUGUAGAUAAUUUGACCUUUGGAGCGUCCGCCACCCCGUUACAUGCCUCCUCAAGAGUCGUGUCCUGUUGUUUCUUUUGAUCCUCCUGGUACGCGCAAAGUAAACCAUAAACACCAGUCCUCCAGUUCCUUCUUCAAGGCCACCGUUUCUGCGUCAUCCUUCCCCAUUUUCUGAACGCGUUUCGCCUUGUUUGGGAAUUGCUACGGAAUUGGAAACACCCACGAUGGUGAAUCCACGGAUACUGACUAGCAAAUUUCCAUCGAAGCGUGAAAGAAGCCUCAGCAUCGACUAUCCUGGAAAUGGAAAGGAAAAAGUACACGGUUACGGUAGACGAGCCCUCACGUUCUUUUGCCAACAAAAACCAUGAUCCGUCUCGCUUUCGGAUUCCAUUUCGCCUAUAAAUGAUCCGAUCCUCUACUUGAAUCGAUUUAGUUCUCUCGGUUCAUCGAUCACGGGUAGCGCAUAAUAAUUUCUUUGUAAAUUUGCUUAUAAUAAAGUAAAAGUAAUAAAAAAAUUUCGGACAAUUGUUUCUUAAUUAUCAACGUUAUUGCAUGGGAAAAUUAUGGUGUACAAGGGGGGAAACGUGCUAUUUGGUGUUCUGUUAUUGAAUUGCAUACAUCAUGUCGUGUCAGGCGAAGGAGUUUGCUUCAGUUCGACACGAGGCAACGAAGAACACGUUUCAUGUAAAGAUAAUUCACCAAAUAUACUUGAAAAGUCUAUUGGUGAACAUUACAAAUCGAAAACCGAAUCUCUAGGUGCAAUUGUAAAAAGUAAGUACAUAUUAUUCGCAUUAUGAUACUAUUAUUUAUGGUACCAUUACAUUAUACUGGAUUCAAGUAUGCGAAUAUUGGUUUUAAUACUAGAGGCGCUAUCAGUGAUUUAUUC